rnacentral:rRNA from 1 species
CCUACGGGAGGCAGCAGUGGGGAAUCUUGCGCAAUGGGCGAAAGCCUGACGCAGCCAUGCCGCGUGAAUGAUGAAGGUCUUAGGAUUGUAAAAAUUCUUUCACCGGGGACGAUAAUGACGGUACCCGGAGAAGAAGCCCCGGCUAACUUCGUGCCAGCAGCCGCGGUAAUACGAAGGGGGCUAGCGUUGCUCGGAAUUACUGGGCGUAAAGGGAGCGUAGGCGGAUAGUUUAGUCAGAGGUGAAAGCCCAGGGCUCAACCUUGGAAUUGCCUUUGAUACUGGCUAUCUUGAGUAUGGGAGAGGUUAGCGGAACUCCGAGUGUAGAGGUGAAAUUCGUAGAUAUUCGGAAGAACACCAGUGGCGAAGGCGGCUAACUGGCCCAUUACUGACGCUGAGGCUCGAAAGCGUGGGGAGCAAACAGGAUUAGAUACCCUGGUAGUCCACGCCGUAAACGAUGAGUGCUAGUUGUCGGCAUGCAUGCAUGUCGGUGACGCAGCUACGACAUUAAGUACACCUCCGCCGUCGGGGAGGUACGGCCGGCCGAAGAAUUAAAACUAACAAAUAGAAGUUAGUACGGCGUGAGACGUAGCCGACGGACGACGACGAGGGAGGUUAGG